rnacentral:rRNA from 1 species
UACGUAGGGUCCGAGCGUUGUCCGGAAUUAUUGGGCGUAAAGGGCUCGUAGGCGGUUUGUCACGUCGGGAGUGAAAACUCAGGGCUCAACCCUGAGCGUGCUUCCGAUACGGGCAGACUAGAGGUAUGCAGGGGAGAACGGAAUUCCUGGUGUAGCGGUGGAAUGCGCAGAUAUCAGGAGGAACACCGGUGGCGAAGGCGGUUCUCUGGGCAUUACCUGACGCUGAGGCGCGAAAGCGUGGGGAGCGAACGGG